GGGGUUACUCAAGGGGAGGAGGUGUGGUCAAGGUGAAGGACACAGAACAAGAUGGAGUCAGCCGGCGUAGGCCCGCCCUUUCAAUGUGGUUUGAAUAGAGCUGUACUACUAAAACGAAUUCACAGUUAACUUCCAAAAAAUUAUCACAGUACAAUGAAAUCAGGAAUGAAAUAUAUUAUGGAAAACCAACAGUGGUUGAUAAUCCUAAAUCCAAAGCUGUUAGGAUUUCAGUACAUUCAGGACAGUGGUGACAAGCUUCAGUCCUCAAGUCUUCUCUGUCUCCUCAGUGAGUAGAAAGGAAACGUAGCCCAUCUGUCUGGACCUCUGUAGAAGAAUUUGGAGAAAAAAGAAAUAACACGUAAGAAAUGUUCCCUUAUUUUGUGAGCUACCUUUAGUCUGUCCCGUUGCUCUGCAACAGAAAGCUUUUGCAAAAAUACUUGAGUUUUCCUCUUCAAAUAAGAUAGAGUUUUUUAAAAAACAAAAAGAUAUCUAGAACAGUAUUUCUUCAACUUUGAUUAUGAGACAGUCUUUGAGGAUAACUGUUGUUAUGUUUUACUCCC